rnacentral:rRNA from 1 species
ACUCCUACGGGAGGCAGCAGUGGGAAUCUUAGACAAUGGGGAAAGCCUCGAUCUAGCCAUGCCGCGUGAGCGAUGAAGGCCUUAGGGUUGUAAAGCUCUUUCAGCUGGGAAGAUAAUGACGGUACCAGCAGAAGAAGCCCCGGCUAACUCCGUGCCAGCAGCCGCGGUAAUACGGAGGGGCUAGCGUUGUUCGGAAUUACUGGGCGUAAAGCGCACGUAGGCGGAUUGGUAAGUUGGGGGUGAAAUCCCGGGGCUCAACCCCGGAACUGCCUCCAAAACUCCCAGUCUUGAGGUCGAGAGAGGUGAGUGGAAUUCCGAGUGUAGAGGUGAAAUUCGUAGAUAUUCGGAGGAACACCAGUGGCGAAGGCGGCUCACUGGCUCGAUACUGACGCUGAGGUGCG